CCUACGGGUGGCAGCAGUCGAGAAUCAUUCACAAUGGGGGAAACCCUGAUGUUUCUCCGCCUCUUUUUUUCCUUCCUUUCUUCUUCUUUUCCCCCCCUGUCAUGUGGGAGCAAAUUAAAAAGAUAGUACCACAAGCGGAAGAGACGUCUAACUCUGUGCCAGCAGCCGCGGUAAUACAGAGGUCUCAAGCGUUGUUCGGAAUCACUGGGCGUAAAGCGUGCGUAGGCUGUUUCGUAAGUCGUGUGUGAAAGGCGCGGGCUCAACCCGCGGACGGCACAUGAUACUGCGAGACUAGAGUAAUGGAGGGGGAACCGGAAUUCUCGGUGUAGCAGUGAAAUGCGUAGAUAUCGAGAGGAACACUCGUGGCGAAGGCGGGUUCCUGGACAUUAACUGACGCUGAGGCACGAAGGCCAGGGGAGCGAAAGGGAUUAGAUACCCCAGUAGUC
rnacentral:rRNA from 1 species